rnacentral:siRNA from 1 species
GGAGCUGCAACGAAGACAGAGAUC